rnacentral:rRNA from 1 species
AGAGUUUGAUCCUGGCUCAGGAUGAACGCUAGCGGCAGGCUUAACACAUGCAAGUCGAGGGGCAGCGAGGGUAGCAAUACCUGUCGGCGACCGGCGCAAGGGUGCGUAACGCGUGAGCAACAUGCCCGUAUCAAGGGGAUAAUCCAGGGAAACUUGGUCUAAUACCCCAUAGUAAUCGUUUAAGGCAUCUUAAAUGAUUUAAAGCUUAGGUGGAUACGGAUUGGCUCGCGUGACAUUAGUUAGAUGGUAAGGUAACGGCUUACCAUGACUAUGAUGUCUAGGGGUUCUGAGAGGAAGGUCCCCCACACUGGAACUGAGACACGGUCCAGACUCCUAC